AAAAGGAGAAUGACAAAUCAGAUUUUUCUUUUUUAUUUUCAGCUUUUUUCUCCUGAAAAUAUUCAAAUCCAACUAAAAAAAGCUAAAAAUAAGAAGAAAAAAUCUUAUUUAUCAUUCUUCUUUU
rnacentral:pre_miRNA from 1 species